GAGGAGUGUGAAAGGACAAGAUGUAGCUACUAGUAUCUCCCUAUUUCAAAGGCAGAUCUGCCAGGAUUCACCACCAGAGGAUUUAGGUCUGAUAUGGCUUACAAGAUUAGGCUUCUAGUUGUUGUGCCCAGUGAUUAAGUUACCUUUGUUUCUGACCUAAGUUUGUGUGGUGUUGUCCUUCACACAGCUGCUCGACUGGGUUCCAGAGAGAAAAAUAUGGCAGCAAAGCGUGGGUUAGCCUGAUGUACACCACAGAAGGCCAUCAGAGUGUUGAAGCCUGGCGCUAACCUGGUAGCUACCCUCCAGUGGGAACUUAGCAAGCUGGGUAGAGAGAUUUUGGAGCUCUGAGUCAGAACUCUCCACGAGAUAAGAACAGCCUGCCAGUGCAUGGUCGGCCAGCCCGCUGGGGCAGAGAGUAGCUGAGUUUAGCUCAGGAACCUGGUUCCACUUUAAAAAUAUUUCCUGGGAGGAGAAUAUCGCCAGGGAGGAAACUUCUGAGUUUUCAGAGACUGGAUCAGAAUGCUAACCUCAACUUAACUCAGAUUGUUUUUUAAAGAACUUGAGGGGAAGGAAGAUGACUCAGCAUAGAGAGGAGCUUGCCACUAAACCUGACAACUUGAUUCUGACCCCUAAAACCCACAUGAUAGAAGAAGAGACUCAGUUCCCUCAUGGUGCCUUCCGAUCUUCACUUGUACACAAUGACAUAUGUGCACAUUGCCUGCACUCAGAAGGAAUCCUGUCUCCAUCUUUACCUUCAGUGAAUAUGGCUGAGAUGAGUGUAGGAAGCUGUGUAAAGCGAGGGCACACAUUAUCCUCCUCCAGCAAGGUACCUUCCUUAAUAUGGAGAAGCCUAUUGUAUCCCAUGUCUACUGGAAUAAACCCUGAAAUAGGC